CGAUUCUUCAUUUCAAACCAUCCCGUGUAGAAAUGGUGGUCGGGUUCUAGUGGGGACCUCACCAGUUUACCCCAUUUGAAAAAGGGCUCCAACUAGAGAAACUGGUGGGGUUCUAGUCGAUUUUGUCACGCUCUAGUUGAUAGGGCCCCGACUAGAAGUUCUAGUUCACUUCUACCGGUUUUAAAAAUUAUUAUUUUUCAACUUAACUUAUUUAUAAUUGAAUUCUCCAUUCAUAUUAACAUUAUUAAUGAUUGUUGCACACGAAAAAUCUCGUGCCUAUGAGGGUUCGAACCUUGGACCUUGGGGACACCAGACGGAUACACAUACCUCUCGGCCAUGAUAGGUUGGAUGGACUUCCGCUUAAAGUACAUCCCGUUUGGAAAUUCCGCCAUUUGUCCCUAUCUCUAGUAGGGCUCUCGCUAGAUUCUGACUAGAAUCUCUAGUCGAGAAAAACUAGUCGGGUUCCAAUCUAAUUCUAGUUAGAUGAUUCUUACAAGCAUUAUUUAUUAAAAAAGUUUGCAUAUUAUUUGAUUACUUAAUUUUUUAAUUAUUUAAACAAAAUCUUUUAUUUAUUAAGUAAAUUAAAAAAGAAUAAACCAUAAAUAAAUAUU